GACGAACGCUGGCGGUGUGCUUAACACAUGCAAGUCGAACGGUAAGGCCCUUUCGGGGGUACACGAGUGGCGAACGGGUGAGUAACACGUGAGUAACCUGCCCUCAUCUCUGGGAUAACAGUCGGAAACGGUUGCUAAUACUGGAUAUGAGCUUGCAAGGCAUCUUGUGGGUUGGAAAGAUUUUUUUUGGUUGGGGAUGGACUCGCGGCCUAUCAGCUUGUUGGUGAGGUAGUGGCUCACCAAGGCUUCGACGGGUAGUCGGCCUGAGAGGGCGACCGGCCACAUUGGGACUGAGAUACGGCCCAAACUCCUACGGGAGGCAGCAGUGGGGAAUAUUGCACAAUGGACGGAAGUCUGAUGCAGCAACGCCGCGUGCGGGAUGACGGCCUUCGGGUUGUAAACCGCUUUCAAUUGUGACGAAGCUUUUUUGUGACGGUAGCAGUAGAAGAAGCACCGGCUAACUACGUG
rnacentral:rRNA from 1 species